AUUGAACGCUAGCGGGAUGCUUUACACAUGCAAGUCGAACGAGUGGCGGACGGGUGAGUAAUAUAUCGGAAAGUGCCCAGUAGCGGGGGAUAACUACUCGAAAGAGUGGCUAAUACCGCAUACCAUUAGCACGGCCGAUAUCGGAUUAGCUAGUUGGUGGGGUAAAGGCUCACCAAGGCAACGAUCCGUAGCUGGUUUGAGAGGAUGACCAGCCACACUGGAACUGAGACACGGCCCAGACUCCUACGGGAGGCAGCAGUGGGGAAUUUUGUACAAUGGGGGAAACCCUGAUCCAGCCAUCCCGCGUGUAUGAGAAGGCCUUCGGGUUGUAAAGUACUUUUGGCGGAGAAGCGGUAUCUGCAGAAUAAGCACCGGCUAACUACGUGCCAGCCGCCGCGGUAAUUC
rnacentral:rRNA from 1 species